AACCAGGGGUUUUAUCAGUGGUACGUUAGAGGAGUCUGUUGCUGCCUCAUUCUUAGUCUUCAAUCUGGGCUGAAAAACUCAAAUAAAAACAUUGUCUGGCUUCUUUGCAGUUUUAAGGAAAGCACACAGGUCCCUUCUAAUCUAUUGCCUUGAUUUUGGCUGCUUCAUAAAUAAAUAAAAGGUUGCCUUUAACAUUUUAGCAGUUGUUUAAGCAGCAAAAGAGAUAAAAGGAAGUUAAAGGACAUGCAAAGAUUGAAUUAAAGCCUUUCCCAGCAUUUUGAUGACAAAGUUUGACCAUUUUGAGGAAUAAAUCAAUUUGCAGUCGCCGUGGACAAAUAGCUGAGACUGGAGCUGAAACUGUUCCUUUGGGAAAUGUGCUAAAAGAUAAAAGGAGUCAGAUUUCUUUUGUGUGAAGAAACACAGAAAGGAUAUUUGGGAUCAGGAGAUAUGCAAAACUCUACUAGGAAAAUGAGAAGGGAGAAGAUAAUGUUUAUUAUAGUUCUAAAAUUUCCCAAUUAGUAUUCUGGAUCUGUUUCACAUCAUGUAGAAUUUCUGGUCCUAAAAUUUCCCAAUUAAUACUUUAGACAUGUUUCACAUCAUGUAAAGUGAAAUCUGUAUAUCCAUUACAAAAAUCCAGUCAUUUAGAAGCUGAACACAGGUUUUAUAUAUAUUGUUCUUUUGUAGUUUACUCUUAAAAAAUAGUGGGUUCCUAAUCAAGAGUCCUGUGGUUUGAUUUGAUGAUCUUGGAGGUCUUUUUCCAGUGUUGAUGAUUCUAGGAAAUAAGUGGCACCAUGAGAGGCUGAAGAACAUUUUGAGGUGCCACUGGAACCAGGAGAACAAUGACAGAAACACAGAAGAGCAAUGUAAAGGAACCCUAGUUAGAUUUCCAAAUAAGUGAAUUUUUGUAAAUGUUUCGCUUUAAAUUCUAAAUAAUGUGAAAUCUACUUAGAAUAUUCAUUGGGAAAUUUUAGAACUAUAAUGUACAUCAUCUUCUCCCUUCACAUUUUCUUUUUUUUGUCUCAUGUUUUCUCACUUCCUUUUUAUUCCCCAAGAAUCCCUAAACAAUCACAGACAUUCCUCAUCCUUCUUAGAGUUGUUUGCUGUCCUUAUCAGGAUUUUGUCACAAAAAUGAAGAGUUCAAUCCCCCCUAAUCAUACAUCAAAUGGCAAACCACUCCAUCUGCUCAACCUUUGCAGUUGGAUGAACAGCCCAUUGCUGCUGUGCCCUUCUGCAGCCUCGGCAGCCUGGGAGGAGCUGGAUGGAAAUCCAGCAUUUUGGAAGGUUGGGUUGGUCAGUCAGGCCGGGUUUGUUCUGCCCACGUGCUAAAAACUGAGCACAAAGAUUUAUUUUGUGUGGUGGUUUUAUUUUGUGUUGCUUUAUGAUCAUGAACCAAACUUGAAAAAGCCCAAACUCAGGAAGGGCACAAAUCAAUUGGUGUGGUUUUGAUUGUUAAGGAGAGAGAGGAAAAAAAAGGGAGGGGGCCUUUUCCUCUCUACUUUCUUUUUCAGCUGUGUUUGAGCUGCUAAUUGAAACCAUCUCCUGGGCUCCAGCUGGUGCAGUUCCAGAUGGGAGGAGGGAGGAGAGAGGAGGCUCCUUCGGCGUGGCACUGAAGGAAACCUGAGCAUGUGGCUGACUAAAUGCAGAAAUGGGGCCUGACACUUUAAUUCUGAAGGUGCAUCACUGAGAACUCAGUCUGACCCAGGACUCCAACAGGGAGAAAAUACACCUAUAGAACAGCUCAUGGAAAGGAAGAAAAUAGCAAACAGCAAUUAAAUGUGGAAUUCUGGUGGAUUAACAUGUGGAUGAAGCAAAUAAAUCUAAAAUUAUAUAUAUUAUCCUUUUCAGAAAUAUGAAUUAAGCGCUGGUGAACCUAAUUAAGGUCAUGAAGGGAUUACAUAAAUCAACCACUGUUCUUAGGGCGUUGCACCCUUGACAUUCCCUGUGUAGGGAAUCAUGGAAUAUUGGAAUAUCCAGCUCUUCUCCUGUCUUCCUUCCUCCUCCUUUAGUUUCUCCCUCUGGAAAUUUGUACAUGUUGCAAAAGUAACCCUGUCCCCCAGCAUGCCUGGGCAAAUUUA